rnacentral:rRNA from 1 species
GAUGAACGCUGGCGGCGUGCUUAACACAUGCAAGUCGAGCGAGCGGACGUGUAUCUAGCGUCUGUGGUGUUAGCAGCGCAUGGGUGAGUAACCCGGGGAUAAGCACCCUAUAAGAAUGCGGUAACUAAGAGCACGUGUGGCUAAGAGCGAAUAAUAUUUUGCACCUCAUGGUUCGAUCGUGACUGAUGAUCUUGCUGGCACUGAUAGAUCGUUCCGAGCUGCAUUAGCUUGUUGGUAAGGUAACGGUUUACCACGGCAAUGAUGCAUAGCCGACCUGAGAGGGUGUUCGGAGACCGUGGAAGUGGGUCACGGUCCAGACUCCUACGGGAGGAAGCAGUAGGGAAUCUUCCGCGACAGGCGAAAGCAUGACGGAGCAACGGCGCGUGAGUGAUGAAGGUCUUCGGAUCUGAAAGCUGUGUUAUUAGGGAAGAACAUAUGUGUAAGUAACUGUGCACACCUUGACGGUACCUAAUCAGAAAGCCACGGCUAACUACGUG